UACGGUAGGGUGCAAGCGUUAGUCCGGAAUCGACUGGGCGUAAAGCGUGCGUAGGUGGCGCGUUAAGUGAGAAUGUUAAUCGUGUGGCUCAACCAUAUCGAUGCAUCUCAUACUGGCGUGCUAGAGGGGAAGCAGAGGCAAGUGGAAAUUUGUAGUGUAGCAGUGAAAUGCGUAGAUAUUACAAGGAACACCAAUGGCGAAGGCAGCUUGCUGGGGCUUCUUCUGACACUGAGG
rnacentral:rRNA from 1 species